UACGAAGGCCCCAAGCGUUAUCCGGAAUUACUGGGUGUAAAGCGUCUGUAGGUGGGAAGGCAAGUCUCUCAUGAAAGACCGGAGCUUAACUCCGUGUUUGUGAGAGAUACUACUUUUCUAGAAUCGGGGAGAGGGAAGCAGAAUUGUAUGAGUAGGGGUGCAAUCCGUUGAUACAUACAAGAAUACCAAAAGCGAAGGCAGCUUCCUGGAACCGUAUUGACACUGAGAGACGAAAGCGUGGGGAGCGAAAAGG
rnacentral:rRNA from 1 species